rnacentral:rRNA from 1 species
GACGAACGCUGGCGGCGUGCCUAACACAUGCAAGUCGAACGAACAGACGAGGAGCUUGCUCCUCUGACGUUAGCGGCGGACGGGAGAGUCACACGUGUAUAACCUACCUAUAAGACUGGGAUAACUUCGGGACACCGUAUCUUAUACCGGAUAAUAUAUUGAACCGCAUGGUUCAAUAGUGAAAUACGGUUUUUCUGUCACUUAUAGAUGGAUCCGCGCCGCAUUAGCUAGUUGUUAAGGUAACGGCUUAACAAGGCGACGAUGCGUAGCCGACCUAAGAGGGAGGUCGGCGACACUGGAACUGAGACACGUUCCAGACUCCUGAGGUAGGCAGCAGUAGGGAAUCUUACGCAAUGGAGGAGAGCCUGACGGAGCAACGCCGCGUGAGGGAUGAAGGUGUUCGGCUCGGAAAACUCUGUUAGUAGUGGAGAACAAAUGUGCAAGUAACCAUGCAGGUCUUGACGGUACCUAAUCAAAAAGCCACGGCUAACUCCGUG